CCCUUGUCUUCCUUAUCACGCUGACCAGUGUUAAUAUAAAUCCUUCGCCAUUCGCCGGAGAAAGAGUAUCGGAGGACUCUGAAGAAACCAAAACCUCGGAGAACAAGGUUGAGAGAACGAAUGGGUGCCAAUGGAAGGAAACUUAGUAUAGAUUUGAACAGUGAAUUUGGCGUUCCUAAGACCAUUUCAGAUUGUCUGGCGGAGGUGUCGGCGACCGGCGAUGUUUCCUUAAAAUUAUCGAAGCUCAGCUACUUUCUCCACGCUUUAGAAGAGGAAUCAAGGAAGAUCGAUGCGUGGAGACGUGAACUCCCUCUCUCCAUGCAUAUUAUCAAUUUGGCGAUCGAGAAGGUUAAGGAGGAAGUUUUGCAGGUGAAGAGGAAGGAAGAAGGGCCAGUUAUGGAGGAAUUUCUGCCAGUGAAAGGCGAUUCUGAUGAAAGUGAUAAGAAGAACUGGAUGAACUCUGCUACGCUCUGGAACAACCCUGUCGAGUUUAAGCACCGAAAUUCAGUUGAGGACGAAGAUAUCCAGUUCCGACCAGGGGAAUUCAAGAAUGAAGGAGGGGCGUUUCAGCCGUACAAGAAAAUAGCGGCGGCGGCGGCGGAGAAGGCUGCUUUACCAAUUAAUGGGUUACCGGCAUCUACGCCCCUCUCCAUUGAUUUGCGUCUCAAAAGCGGCGGCGGCGGCGGAGGAAGCAGAAAUAGCCAACCUCAGAGCAAGAAACAACGGCGGUGCUGGUCGCCGGAGCUUCACCAGAGAUUCAUAGACGCUCUCGAUAAACUCGGCGGCGCACAAGCCGCCACGCCGAAGCAGAUCAUAGAUAUAAUGCGAGUCGACGGCCUUACCAACGACGAAGUAAAAAGCCAUCUUCAGAAAUACAGACUCCAUGUUCGAAGGCUUCCACCACCAUCGAGCUCAGUAGAACAGAGAAUAGAUGCUUUGAAGGUGGCCAAAAUCGCCGCCCAGUCUGGGUCGCCGGAAGGGCCUCUUCACUUAAGCGCUUCUGGAAAGGAAAUCUCCAUGACACUUACUAACAUCCCCGAAGAAGAAGAAGAGGACGACAUAUCUGAGAGUAGUUGGAAGAAGCAAGGACAUAUUGUCUAGGAAUAUAUAUAUAUAUAAUUAUAUAUGAUGUUUGCAGAGAGGAAGAAAAUAGAGAAACCGGACAUGAAUUAAGGUUUCAGAGCAUAGAGUGGAAAGUGGUAGUGAUAGGUGCUAACUGUUUUUUUGCGGUUAUAGGUAGUGAAGGGAAAUCAAACUUUCUGAUUAGAGUAUUGUUAUUAUCAAUCCUCAUACGAAUCAUAAGAAAUUGAGCAAAUCCAAAGUCAAUAUCAAUUGUUUACAGAUGGCAAGCAAAUCAAGCAAUAUUAUUACCUGAACCAAA